AUUAAGGUGGCAGAGCAGGUAAUUGCAUAAAACUUAAGCCUUUAUUAUCAGAGGUUCGAGCCCUCGCCUUAAUA
rnacentral:tRNA from 1 species